AAUAUUGCACAAUGGGCGAAAGCCUGAUGCAGCAACGCCGCGUGAUGGAUUAAGGCCUUCGGGUCGUAAAGCUCUUUGAUCAGGGAAGAUAAUGACAGUACCUGAAAAACAAGCCAUUGCUUACUACGUUCCAGCAGGCGCUGUAAUACGUAGGUGGCGAGCGUUGUCCGGAAUUACUGGGCGUAAAGGAUGCGUAGGUGGAUACUUAAGUGGGAUGUGAAAUCCCCGGGCUCAACCCGGGAACUGCAUUCCAAACUGGGUAUCUAGAGUGCAGGAGAGGAAAGCGGAAUUCCUAGUGUAGCGGUGAAAUGCGUAGAUAUUAGGAGGAACACCAGUGGCGAAGGCGGCUUUCUGGACUGUAACUGACACUGAGGCAUGAAAGCGUGGGUAGCAAACAGG
rnacentral:rRNA from 1 species